UCAAUAAGCGGAGGAAAAGAAACUAACAAGGAUUCCCCUAGUAAUGGCGAAUGAAGAGGGAAAAGCCCAAUUUUGUAAUCUGGCCCUUUUAGGGUCCGAGUUGUAAAGUGAAGAGGUGCUUUCUUGUGCUGGACCAUAUAUAAGUCUGUUGGAAUACAGCAUCAUUGAAGGUGAGAAUCCUGUCUAAUGAUAUGGACUACCAGUGCUUUUAUGAAGCAGUCUCUAAGAGUCGAGUUGUUUGGGAAUGCAGCUCAAAAUGGGUGGUAAAUUCCAUCUAAGGCUAAAUAUUGGUGAGAGACCGAUAGCAAACAAGUACCGUGAGGGAAAGAUGAAAAGAACUUUGGAAAGAGAGUUAACAGUAUGUGAAAUUGUUAAAAGGGAAACACUUGAAGUUAGACUUGAUAAUGUCAGUUCAGCCUUUUAUUAGGGUGUAUUCUGUGCAUUAUCAGACCAACAUCAAUUUUGGGUGUUAGAUAAGGGUUUGGGAAAUGUAGCAACUUUGGUUGUGUUAUAGUCCUGAAUUUCAUAUAUAAUGCCCAAGAUUGAGGAGAUUCACAGUAAGCUGGAAAGAGAUUUUCAGUAGGU
rnacentral:rRNA from 1 species